AUCAUUGAAGAGAUUGGCUAAACAUUGAAUACCUAUGGAAGCAUGUAUUGGAGAAGCAAGAAAAUGAUGGCCAGCCUUCCUGGAAAACAAGUACCGCGUGAGGUUUUUGAAAGCUGUGUUUGCAAACAUACCACUGUGCUGGAUUAAGAGACUGACUUUGAGAUGGACGAAAGAGCUCUGGGCUGCCAACUUUCUACAGGUGGCAAGUAGGACCUAACUUGGGACCAUCCACUAAUAAGGCUGAUACCAACAUCAACGUGUGCUGCCUGAAAAAAAGAGCAUCCUGCAGAAUCAGACGAGGGAUGAGAGGCCACUGGGGAAUAAGAAUGCAGAUUACAAAACAUUCUACAAAAGUAGAAUCUUCUAGUGUUCGGAAGAGAUUUUCUUGUUGAAGUUUUCCUUACUAGACCGUAAAUUGAGUAGCUUCAGACCUUAAGCACAUCAUGGAGGGGUGAAACCACUCCCACCACCCCAGCGAUUUAUGUUUUUAUGUGGCUCAUUAUUAACAAACCUUUUUAUACAUGGAAGAAAUGUGAAAGCUCCUUGGGGGUUUGAACAAACUGUCCAUAAGAUGGGCCAUUCGGAAGCCCAUGGUCAGUCACACCAUGAUGAAAGCCCUUGAGUCCUUAAGUCACUGCCUCCUUUGGGUAGCAGAGACCAAAAGGCCACAGACCCAGAGCAGCUCCAGUGUCUCCCUAUCUGUCUAGACUGCUAUGUAGGUGCUGUCACACAGGCAAGCAGAUCACAAGAAUGUGUUGUUUAUGAGGAUUACUUCCUCAAGGAGUGCUGUGGAGAUACUAAAGCGGUAUAAAGAAGAAAAGGAAAAACUAAUAAGGAAAGGAGAUUAAAUCUUCUACCUCCAGCUAGCAAUAGUCAAUUUUCUCACUUUAGAAAACUUCAUUUCUGAAAGCCCUCAAAACACGCCCACUUCUGAAUUCAUUGGCCAUCUCUUGGGAAAAUAACUCACCUCCUUCAUAUGAUAUGCUGGGACACAGUUGCUUCGGGAGCAGUUUGGAAUCAGAGAAGGAUGGUUAUUCCAUAAAUGCAGGUCUCUUUCAGGAAAUAACGCAGAGUGGUUCAGGUUCAACAGGGGACACUUCUUAGAAAGGUCUCUCUUACAAACUCAUGGUCCU